AGUGAACGCUGGCGGUAGGCCUAACACAUGCAAGUCGAACGGCAGCACAGUAAGAGCUUGCUCUUACGGGUGGCGAGUGGCGGACGGGUGAGGAAUACAUCGGAAUCUACUUUUUCGUGGGGGAUAAUGUAGGGAAACUUACGCUAAUACCGCAUACGACCUACGGGUGAAAGCAGGGGAUCUUCGGACCUUGCGCGAUUGAAUGAGCCGAUGUCGGAUUAGCUAGUUGGCGGGGUAAAGGCCCACCAAGGCGACGAUCCGUAGCUGGUCUGAGAGGAUGAUCCGCCACUCUGAAUCUGAGAGACGGUCGAGACUCCUACGGGAGGCUGCAGUGGGAAAUAUUGGACAAUGGGCGCAAGCCUGAUGCAGCCAUACCGCGUGGGUGAAGAAGGCCUUCGGGUGGUAAAGCCCUUUUGUUGGGAAAGAAAAGCAGCAGGUUAAUACCCCGCUGUUCUGACGGUACCCAAAGAAUAAGCACCGGCUAACUUCGU
rnacentral:rRNA from 1 species